rnacentral:rRNA from 1 species
GAUGAACGCUGGCGGCGUGCCUAAUACAUGCAAGUCGAGCGAACAGACGAGGAGCUUGCUCCUCUGACGUUAGCGGCGGACGGGUGAGUAACACGUGGAUAACCUACCUAUAAGACUGGGAUAACUUCGGGAAACCGGAGCUAAUACCGGAUAAUAUAUUGAACCGCAUGGUUCAAUAGUGAAAGACGGUCUUGCUGUCACUUAUAGAUGGAUCCGCGCCGCAUUAGCUAGUUGGUAAGGUAACGGCUUACCAAGGCAACGAUGCGUAGCCGACCUGAGAGGGUGAUCGGCCACACUGGAACUGAGACACGGUCCAGACUCCCACGGGAGGCAGCAGUAGGGAAUCUUCCGCAAUGGGCGAAAGCCUGACGGAGCAACGCCGCGUGAGUGAUGAAGGUCUUCGGAUCGUAAAACUCUGUUAUUAGGGAAGAACAAAUGUGUAAGUAACUAUGCACGUCUUGACGGUACCUAAUCAGAAAGCCACGGCUAACUACGUG